UACGAAGGGGGCUAGCGUUGCUCGGAAUCACUGGGCGUAAAGGGCGCGUAGGCGGCGUUUUAAGUCGGGGGUGAAAGCCUGUGGCUCAACCACAGAAUGGCCUUCGAUACUGGGACGCUUGAGUAUGGUAGAGGUUGGUGGAACUGCGAGUGUAGAGGUGAAAUUCGUAGAUAUUCGCAAGAACACCGGUGGCGAAGGCGGCCAACUGGACCAUUACUGACGCUGAGACUCGAAAGCGUGGGGAGCAAACAGG
rnacentral:rRNA from 1 species